rnacentral:rRNA from 1 species
UUGGAGGGCAAGUCUGGUGCCAGCAGCCGCGGUAAUUCCAGCUCCAAUAGCGUAUAUUAAAGUUGUUGCAGUUAAAAAGCUCGUAGUUGAACUUCGGGGUUUACUCAUUGGUCAGGCUUAAUUGUCUGCAUUGGUGAGAUGGAUCUCUACCUUCUGAGGAACUUUCAUGCCAUUUAUUUGGUGUGAUGGGAAAUCAGGACUGUUACUUUGAAAAAAUUAGAGUGUUUAAAGCAGACUAUCGUCUGAAUACAUUAGCGUGGAAUAAUGAAAUAGGACGGACUGAUUCUAUUUCGUUGGUUUCUAGGAUCACCGUAAUGAUUAAUAGGGAUAGUUGGGGGCAUUAGUAUUCAAUUGUCAGAGGUGAAAUUCUUGGAUUUAUUGAAGACUAACUUCUGCGAAAGCAUUUGCCAAGGAUGUUUUCAUUAAUCAAGAACGAAAGUUAGGGGAUCGAAGACGAUCAGAUACCGUCGUAGUCUUAACCAUAAACUAUGCCGACUAGGGAUCGGACGAUGUUAAUUUUUUAAUGACUCGUUCGGCGCCUUACGGGAAAC